UUUCCCAAACAAGAGGAACCCAAAGAGGACCACACCAAGUCAUAUCAUAAUUAAAAUGCCAACGGCUAAAGACAAAUAGAGAAUCUUAAAAACAGCAAGAGAAAAACAGUUAAUUAUCUACAAGGGAAUGCCCAUUAGACUGUCACUGAUUUCUCAACAGAUAUUACACAAGUCAGAAGGGAGUGGCAAGAAAUAGUCAAAGUGAUGAAUAGCAAAGACCUACAACCAAGAUUACUUUACCCAGCAAAGUUAUCAUUUAGAAUUGAAGGUCAGAUAAAGAGCUUCACAGACAAGAAAAAGCUAAAGGAAUUCAUCACCACCAAACCAAUAUUAUAGGAAAUAUUGAAGGAUAUUCCUUAAGAAGAUGGAGAAGA